GUUGGGGCUCCAGCUGACCACUGACAGCUGGGACAGACCUGGAUCCCAGCCGUCCCAGCUUUUGAGAGGCCGAGGUAGAUGGAACCCUGUGAGUUUGAGGCCAUCCUGGUCUAUACAGCAAGCUCCAGGCCAGACAGAGACACAUAUUGAGACACUGUCUCGAUAGACGCUGGCCGUUGAAGAAGUUCUCCGACCUGAGGAGAAUAAGUUGGGUACUCAGCCUUAGAUAGGCUAUCUAUUUUAACCGCACUCCACACAAAACUCAGAGAACUAUGGAAGACGAGGUGGAAAGAAAGAGGUGGAGAAUGCGAGGACUGCCGUCAACUGCGUCAACUACCGUCUUCUUGAUAUGGCGCCACAGUUAUGGUUACCACAGGAUCAAUCCGGAAAGGACUGAAGAAAUAGCCCAGGACUUACGAGCACUUGCUAAUCUUGCAGAGGACCCAGGUUCGAUUCUCAGUACCCACACGAAGACUCACAACCAUCUGUAGCCUGAGUCCCACAGGAUCCUACUCCCCCUUCUGACCUCCAUGAGCACCAGGCAAGCACACGGUGAACAUGUGUAUAGGCAAAACAAUCAUACUCAAAAUAAAA